GCCGCUGUAGCUCAAUAGGUAGAGCAACGGAUUCGUAAUCCAUAGUUCGUGGGUUAGGUUCCCCUGCAGGCC